rnacentral:snRNA from 1 species
GGCCGGGGGCAACCCUGGCCAUAAGACAAAAUUGGAACGAUACAGAGAAGAUUAGCAUUGCCCCUGCAUAAGGAUGACAAACUCUGAGCGGAGAGGUGGUUCGUAAGAACCAGUUAUUU